rnacentral:tRNA from 1 species
UAGCUCAGUUGGUUAGAGCGUGGUGCUGAUAACACCGAGGUCGCGGGUUCGAUCCCCGU